CGGCCAGCUAGAUCACAAACAUCACCAUUAUACUUCAUUCACAAGCAUAUACAACUCAUAUUUGGAGAAUCGCAAUCGAAAACGUAUGCAUUCCAAUGCGAUUGUUCAACAGAAAGUGAUGGAACAUCACGUUCCAUCGUGUUGACAGUUAAAGAUUUUUCUAACCUCAUAAGUCUGUGCUAGUGAGAAUGAAUUCAGUCAGUCAUCUCCAGUCUACAAUUUCAAGAUUUCCAACAACAUGGCCAGCCAGCAAAGCAACGAGAUUUCAUCCACCAUUCCGGAGGACAGCGAUCUUCCAGAAGAAAUCCGCAGAUUGAAUCUGGAUGCGGACACCAUCGCGUUUUUGCGUCGUAGCGCUCAGCAGGCAAAUUUGCCUUUGGCAUUUUUUGCCUCUAAAAUUACGCCCCAGAUGCAUGAAGAAAUGAAACAGGCGGCCAAAUGGAAGGCCGACUUGGACGACGAUCUUUACCAUAAAAAGCAGUUUUGACAAUAUCCAGUGUUUUUGGCCUAGCCAAAUUAAACUAGAUAUAUGAAAUAGGAUGGCGAAGUAAUUUUUAGUAAUUUGUUACUUGUAAACUGUAUACUUGGUGAUUCUGUGGCAAUUCUUUUAAUACGAAGGUAACUAACUAAAUAAAAUUCUCAGACGAUAAUCGUGCGCAGUGUGGCUUUGUAAGGCAUAAAGGUAACGGUACAAACAGGGGCGUUAUAGGUAACAGUACAACCAAG